rnacentral:lncRNA from 1 species
CCAGUUUGCCUCAACGGAACCUUCUGAAUCCAUCCAAGUAAGCAACCGCCUUCUUCUUUUUUGGUUUUCUGCCGUAGCCUGCCAACAACUUUGCCCUUUCAUUUCCUUAUUUCUAAUCUAAUGCAGACAUAUAAUUGACUUUCAAACUCUGUAAAUUUUUAAAAACUAUAUGAACUGGUUUCAACUUUGGUAAAACUACAUGUUUGAUGAUGAACAGAUAAACGGUGAUAAUUACCUGGAUUUUAGCAUCAGGUUCCUUGUAAGAGUUGUCAACGUCUCCUGGUAAUCCACCUUUUUCCUUUGUUGUGAUAUCCAUCAUCGAUCUUUGCAGAGACUUCUUCACGUUGAAGGUUGCAGAUCUGAGUUUCUUUUUUAUUGUGAUAUCCAUCAUCGAUCUUUGCAGAGACUUCUUCACUUUGAAGGUUGCAGAUCUGAGUUUGUUUUUUUUCAGUCUAUCAGCCUAUUUGCCUAUUGAAACUGGUAAUUUUUUUUUCAUUCACUUUUUUCUGAUUGUUUGUCCUUUUUCAUUUUUUUAUUUUUUUAAAGUUUUUUUAUUUAUUUACUUUUUAAGUUUUUUUAUUUGUCCUUUAUUUAUUUUAUUUAUUUGUUUAUUAUUGGUUUUAUGAAAUGUUUUAUAAUAUUAUUUUUUAAAAUUUUAAAUAUAUUUUCUUAAAAUUAUUAAUUUUUUAAAAUUUAAACAUUAUUUUUAAAAUUUUAAAUAUACUUUUUAAUAAUAUAAAACAUUUAAAAUAUAUUAUUUUUAAAGAUAUGACCUUUCAAAUUUAUUAUUUAUUUUAUAAUAUUUUAAAUGUAUAUUUUAAAAUUUUUAAAUAUAUAUUUAUUUAAUUUUAAAUAUAAUUUUUAAAAUUAUGAUUUUUAAAAUUAUUUUUAAAGGUAUUUAAACUUUUUUUAAAAUUCUAUUUAAAAUUUUAAAAAAUAAUAUUUUAUUUAAAAAAGUGAAAAUUAAAUUGAUUGGAAAAAAAAUAAAAAAUAUGAUUCAUUAGUUAAAAAGAUUAAGACUUUUGUAAAUAUAUAUAUUAAAAAAGUAAAAAUUUAUAUUAAAAAAUUAAAUAUAUAUAUAUUAUAACUAGUCACAUCAUGUCAAUGGCAUUAAUGAUGUGACCAGUCAUUAGUCUAAUCAUAUGUGGACUUUUAUUAAUUUAUAUAAAAAAAUAAAAGAUAAUAAUACCCUAAUAAUAAUAUCAUUUACUUUGUAAAAAAAAAGACUUUUUAGUAAUUUUUUAAUUGAGUUGGUUGAGAUAAUUUGUUUAGUUAAAGAAUUUAGAGUAAACCACAAUAUCAGUUACUCAAUUAUAGGUAAAUUUUUGUUUUGGUCUUAGAUGCUCAUUAUGCUAAUUAUCGGUCUUAGAGUACACCAGAAUAUCGUCGAUAAAGGCUACGACGAACUAAUUUAGAUACGGCUGAAAAACCCGAUUCAUCAGAUCCAUGAAUGUCGUCGGAGCAUUCAUCAAACUAAAGGGCAUUACUAGGAACUCGUAGUGCCCAUAACGAGUCCUAAAAAUCGUCUUAAAGAUAUCAGCUUCCUUAACUCUAAGCUGAUGAUACCUAGAGCGGAGAUCUAUCUUCGAAAAUACUGAAGCCCCACGAAACUGAUCAAACAAAUCAUCGAUCCUCAGAAGUGGGUACUUAUUCUUUACCGUCAACUUUGUAACAACCCGAUUUAGACCCUAGUCGAACAAUGGUUUCGGGACCACGAAUUCGAGUCAAAAAAUAUUUUAAUAUUAUUUUCUGUGCUUAUAGUAUGUAAGUUGACAUGUGUAAAAUUUUCGUAAAUUAAUUUAUCCGUUUGUGUGCUUAAUUUGUGAAAAGGGCUAAAUCGCAUAAAAAGUAAAAGUGGCAUUCUCAUUGUUAAUAUGCUAAUUUGUUAUGAUUUGAUUUAUGGGAAGUCCUUAAAAGGUUAACAUACCAUUAUAAGUUUAGUGGACAUUUAUGUCCAUGAAUUAAGUAAUUUAUAUUAAGCUUUUAUUAAGGUUAAAAUGGUAAAAAGUAAAUAACAUGAUAUUAAAUAAAAUAAAACACAAAAUUCCAUGCAUUUGGCUUUGUUUUUGCCGAAACUUGAAGAACAAAGAAGACAUUUUUGUGUUUUAAGUAUUCGACACUUUGGAAGCUAAAAUUUGGUAUGUGUUUUGCUUGGCUUUUGAUAAUUUUUAUGUUUUUGUGAUCGUUGCUUAGUAUAUUGCCUAGCCCAUGUAUUAAUUGUUGGAGUUGAUUAUGAAUUUGAGAAUUUCCAUGGUUGAUAAUGUGAUAAAUUUGUUGUUUGAUGAUGAAAAAUAAAUCUUGGUUGAUAGAUUAUUAUGUUUAAUUAAGUGGUUUUUAGUAAAAAUGUGUAUUAAGGAUUAAAUUGUGAAUUUUGUAAAUUGAUGGGUCAAAAUGUGAAAUAAAUGAUUAAAAUUUUAUUGCUAGAGACCUAAGGUAGAUUCAUCCUAACUAGGGUGUAUUGAAAUUUUGAAUAUUUUGAGUUGUAUUGAAAUAGGGACUAAAUUGAGAAAAUGUGAAAUGUUAGGGGCUAAAAUACAAAUUACCCAUUUAUGUGUUUUUGAAUAAAUUUGAACGAAUAUAUGAUUAAAUAAGUCAAAUUUAUAUUGAAUUUGAUCAAGAAAAGAAGAAAUCAGAUUUGGAACGGUGGAAAUUAAAAGUGGUAUAGUGGUCGUCCCGUUUUGUUCGUCUUUGUCCGAGGUAAGUUCGUAAGUGAAUAAUUGAUGUUAAAUUUUAUGUACUUAAUUUAUACAUUGCUGAAUCGAAAUGUAUGUAUGAAUACUACAAUGCCGAAUUGUAUUUAACAUAGGAAAACUAAUUUGAUUAAUUUACGACAUCCGAUAACUAUACGAAUCACAGCAAUGCUGAAAUGUGAUAUCGUGUAAGACUACGUUUGGGACAUUGGCAGCGAUUUGAGAUUUACGUGUAAGACCAUGUCUGGGACAUUGGCGUCGUAUAUGAUUACAUGUAAGACUCUGUUUAGGACAGUGGCAUCGUUAUUUGAUUACAUGUAAGACCAUGUCUGGGACGUUGGCGUUGUACGAGCUUUUGAGCAAUCUGAGCAUCUUUUCUUUGAAUUUGAAUGGUAUAUUGAGAAAUUAUAUGGAAAAAAACUGAAUGUGUGUUUGAAUUGAACAAUUUCAGGUAUGUUUGAAUUAUACAAAGUUGAAAAUAAAUGUAAGUAUUAUGUAUAGCAUGAAAAGAUGAAUGAAUUACUUAUAUAUGAAUAUAUAUAUGUAUGUGUACGAGAUUUGUAAAAUUCAGCCUACUUGUAUAAUUUGUAUGUGUAUUUUGAAAACUAUUUGCUUACAACUUACUAAGCUAUUUAAGCUUACUGUAUGUUUGUUCAUUCAUUGUUUAUUAGACUUUGGAAGCUAAUUACGAGCUCGAGGAUCGUCAAGGAAGUUUG